rnacentral:rRNA from 1 species
ACUCCUACGGGAGGCAGCAGUGGGGAAUAUUGCACAAUGGGCGCAAGCCUGAUGCAGCCAUGCCGCGUGUGUGAAGAAGGCCUUCGGGUUGUAAAGCACUUUCAGUUGUGAGGAAGGUGGUGUCGUUAAUAGCGGCAUCAUUUGACGUUAGCAACAGAAGAAGCACCGGCUAACUCCGUGCCAGCAGCCGCGGUAAUACGGAGGGUCCAAGCGUUAUCCGGAAUCACUGGGUUUAAAGGGUGCGUAGGCGGAUAACUAAGUCUAAGGUGAAAGUCUGUGGCUUAACUAUAGAAUUGCCUUGGAUACUGGUUAUCUUGAAUUGGGUUGAGGAUGGCGGAAUGUGACAUGUAGCGGUGAAAUGCAUAGAUAUGUCAUAGAACGCCGAUUGCGAAGGCAGCCAUCUGGGCCUUGAUUGACGCUGAGGCACGAAAGCGUGGGGAGCGAACAGGAUUAGAUACCCUGGUAGGAUAG